rnacentral:lncRNA from 1 species
GGCUUCAGGACAGGAAUUCUUGGCUCUUUCUGAGAUAUGGUGGAUGAUAGCAGUCCCUUGGGGUAGAAGAAUGCUUCAAGCUUCAGACAAAUUUAAGCAUUCUCACUUGGAAGCACCUUAAAUCCUUGGUGUUCAGAUUUGACAACCGUAAAAAUGUUCGCUAAAGAGGUUUGCGGGGGAUUCCUUGAGCAGCACAAGAUUAUUUUU